rnacentral:lncRNA from 1 species
UUUUGGCAUAAACCCUGACCGUGGAAGGAAGGGCAAAAAAGGAAAUGUGACGGUCAGCAAGAGAGUUCUUGCCUUGGUGCAGCGCAUUACUGAGUGUGAAUGGAACAUCUAGCAUGAACUAGUUGACCACACGCAGGGAUACUUUUUCAUUUUCCAAGCAGCCCAGAACCUGCAAUGCGAACUACAGAAAUGGCUCCCUUUCACCAAGUCAUCUACACAAGAAAUUAUUUUAAAGCUGCGUAAAGUGCAAUAAAGUGUUUUGAAAUA